rnacentral:rRNA from 1 species
AGCGAACGCUGGCGGCAGGCUUAACACAUGCCAGUCGAGCGGGCACUUUCGGGUGUCAGCGGCGGACGGGUGAGUAACGCGUGGGAACGUGCCCUCUGGUUCGGAAUAACUCAGGGAAACUUGAGCUAAUACCGGAUACGCCCUUUUGGGGAAAGGCUUGCUGCCGGAGGAUCGGCCCGCGUCUGAUUAGCUAGUUGGUGAGGUAACGGCUCACCAAGGCGACGAUCAGUAGCUGGUCUGAGAGGAUGAUCAGCCACACUGGGACUGAGACACGGCCCAGACUCCGACGGGGGGCGGCGGGGGGGAAAUUGGGGAAAUGGGCGCAAGCCUGACCCAGCCUGCCCGGGGGAGUGAUGAAGGCCUUAGGUUUGUAAAGCUCUUUUAUCCGGGACGAUAAGGACGGUACCGGAGGAAAAAGCCCCGGCUAACUUCGG